GAAAAUUGAUCUAGACACCAGUCAGUUAGCCCAGGCCAAGCUUCACAAUAAUGUGUUUGUUUGUCUCCACACACCUGGGUCACCUGCCUCUCAGACUCCCUCACCUGACCCUGAUGUGUCAUCUAAGGCUUCCCAUCAUGGUAGGAGGAAUGGGUUGGACUAUGUGAAACAGCUCCUGGGUGUUAUUUGUGGUGAAAGAAAGCAACUGUGUUUCUGCCUUGUUCAACCGAUCCCCGGCUUCUCCCCGUUGCUACCCUGCUGCAGCUCCUGUCAAUGUCAGGCUGUCAGGAGGAGGUAGGAAUCGGCCGACGGGCUCCUCUCGGCUCGCCCGGCCCAGCCAUGCGUCUGCCAUCAUUCUGGCUGUUGCGGCAGCUGAUUGGUGCUCCUGUGUCGG